rnacentral:lncRNA from 1 species
GUUUAGCUUUCAUCUUUAAGCCUGUUACUAUAUUUUAAUGAACAUUGUCACUGCCUUUAAUCUGGUUUAUUCCUCCAACUUUGGUUCAGUCAGACACACUAGUGCAAGGCUGUUCCUCCUAAGGACAGCAAGUGAAGGGAGAGGAAACAUCCCAACAGGAUGACCCAGGACCGCAGCUAGACUGGCAGGAUUUUAAGGAAGAAAGCCUGCCGGCCUGGACAACGAGGAAGUUCCCUACACACACAGAGAAGCAUUUACCCGGGAUUGGUGACACUGUUGUUCAGUCUUUCUCUUGCUAAGAGGGA